GAAGUGGUGGCUCAGUGGUAGGGUUCUUACUUUCCACGCAGGGGACCUGGGUUUGAUUCCCGGCCAGUGCU
rnacentral:tRNA from 1 species